CACUUCAAAAGUAAUCAAUACUAUAGUAUAUUAUUUAUUAACAAAGAGAACAAGGAAUAGGCAAAUUUGGAGCAUUCCACAACACAGGCCCGUGUCAUUCACCAUAUCUUACGAUAUGACUGCCGUGUCAGACAAUAAGGCCGAUACACCCCAUAACUUAUGAUAUGGGGCUAGGGCAUCUUUUUUAAGGAAGCACGACCAUACAGGCGGUGAAAAUCAGGGGGGAAGGAGACGACCAUACAGGCGCCCUUAAAAAACACGACCAUGCAAAGCAGCAAAACAAAAAAACAAAGGAAAUCAGGGGGGAAGGAGACGAACCUACAGGCUGUGAAAAUCUCAGAGCUAAUCCGUUGGUGAAGAAGACGAUGAGAGGAACAAAAGCUUCACAGAACACGAAGAGCUCUAGCGCCUUCUUAAACAAUCCCUUUUGAAGCAGGCUUCCAGACGAGCUUUGAAGACCUUCACGGCAGCCGGCACACGGUCACCGGAGAAGGCAGCCGAUGGCGACGGCGACGACCGGAGGAGCAGCCGAUGGGCGAAGAGGAGGCAAUGUCGCAAAUGCAAUCUCUUGAGUCUCGACGGGCGACGGCGACGACGGAAGGUCGAAAGGCUGUUAAAGCUACAUCUGGCGAGUGGUAGAGGAAGCUUGCGACCUACAACGUCACCACCUCUGACAACUCACUGCUUUGCCUCUUCAGCAUGUUCAACUGACAAGGUACAGAUGAGCCUUCGCGAGUCAUGAUUGCAAUGCAUUUGGCAUUCCCAUUGCUCUUGACUGCACCAAGCAGAUGGUAGUCUGGCAGCAGUGCUGCGAUGCGAGCAACUGAAUUGUGUGAGAAAGAUGUCCAGCUGAGCACUAGACAAUCUCGAACCCUCUGGAUGGGUCUAGGGUUGUCACUGGAAAAGAGAACAUAGUGACAAGCCGGGAGUUAUUGGUCUACCGAAAAAGUAGCAGCGACGGAUAUCUAGCUACUACAGAAAGGGAAACCGGCGAAGACUUCUCCACUGCACAUACUGCUGUGGCCCUCAAAUACUCUAUGCUAUGGUUUGAUACAGAAUAGAGGGUUUCAGACAGGGUGUUCAGGUGUUCUGGUUAGUCCGUGCUCUCGCAUGACUAUUGGAACAAGAGCAAUAGAGAUUCUGUAGUUGUGUCAGAGGCUCUAGUGAAGAAAAAAAUCAGCUUUUUUAGAGGCUCAAACUGUAGACACAGAGGUUCUCAAUCUUCUAUACCCUUGUUGGGGUUCUUACAGAACAACCAGAACUUUCAACUAGCGGAAGGAUGAAUAUCUAUCAUUCCCAGCCUAUUCACGCUCAGGUCUAGAGGUCAACUAUGUUCUCUGUUUCCUUAUGAUUCAAGGAUACAGUUUUUCAACUUGUAGAAUAGAGCAUAUAAUUACAUAUAACAGCUGAGAGAGCUCCAAAUAUGUUCGAACUAGCAUGCUUUCACAUUCAUGAAACAUGAUCCAAAACAGCAUGUUAUAUGCGGAGACUGCAUUCAUCAUAGGCAUCUCAGGCACCACAGAAGUGAGAUUGGACUUACUGGAAUUUGAGA